AACGGGGAAGGGUUAUAAAAAGCAGGCACACUCUGACCAUCCACGACACACCAUUUUUUUUCUACACAGAGACGGAAAAGAGGAAAAGAAGUCAAGAUGAAACUGUAUCUUGCAGCUGCCGUGCUGUUGCUGGCUCUUGUCGCACACAGGUUCUUCUUAGUGUUUUAUACAGAAAAGUCUUGCAUGUUUCUUUCUGCUAUUAUCUCAUUGUCCUUGUUUUUUCACUGACUUUCAGAGGCUCAGGAUGACUCAUUUGCAGAAAGGUCUCAAACUUUGGGGAUCAGAUCACAGAGUUCGGCAAGAAUGUAGCUGAAAAAGCCAAGACCCAUUUUGACGCCAUUGCAACCAGUGAUUUUGCAGAGAGCACCAGGAAUUGGUUCACAGAGAAAUUCCAGCAGUUUAAAGACAAGGUACAAGAAAUGAACCAAUGAACUGGUGGCCCAGUCAAUGACCUCCCCUCUGUUCCCAACGCCCACGCUGACAGAUGACUUGCUUCUACACCAUCUCAAGGCUGAAGUCACGUCGCUCAACAAAAUGGAUGAAUUUGCCAAUUCUUAGCCUGUGAUCUUUCUUUGGGAAAACUGUGUAAAACUGCAAUAAAAUACAUGGAAUGGAAUAAAA